GGAUGAGGAAGCCCUGGACGGCGAAGAGGGAAUGCGCUUACUGCCCUGAGCCGGGCACUAGACAUGGUGAUGGUGACAAGUGUCAUGAUCUGCAGAGUCACACAAGUAAGAGCCAAGGAAAUUCGCGCCUCCUCUCCCAGGGUGUGAGCUGCUGAGGACACUGGGGACGGCGACGCAGAGCUGCAGAGCUGCACUUCUCAGCCCCAGGCUGAAGCCCAAGACCCAGGCGGCUCUUCGAGGUCCUUCUUGCUGUGUCCUCUCGUGGCGAAGGGCGUGGGGGACAGUGCGGCCUCCUGAGCCGCUUUGGGAAGGGCCUUCCUCCCCUCUACCAGGAGGGUCCCCGAGGCCGGCCAGCUCCACACGGCGACGCCUGGUUUCCUGGGGGCCACCUCCAGAGCACAGAGGCCACUGUGCAGAAAGAGGCCGGCAGAGUGACCGGCAGACAGCUGCGCCCCGAGCGCCCACUCCGUCCAACUUCAUGGACGCCCCCGAGUCACCUUCUUGGCUGAGACGCGGGUGACCCGGGGACGUGGAGGAGGGAGGCCCUGUCCUUGCCUCAUGCUGCUCCGGAUGCAGCUUCCCAAGCCGCUUCCAGGGCUCUGCGCCCUGCCCCGCCCAGCACAGGCCCCGGGGGCUGCCUCAAGUCACCUCUAGGUUACCCAGGACACGGGACACCACGAAGCGUUCUGCGGCAUUGUUGGGAAGUAAGACAAGAGAACAGUCUGCUCAGCUCCGCACAGACAGCUUUGUCCGGAAGCUUCCGGUCCACGGUUGGUUGGAACCUCGGAUGCAGAACCCAGGGACGCGGAGGCUGAUGGGACCAUGCAGGUGGCAUCGUGCUUUCUGUCUGGCUGAAGGAAGAUGCUCCCCAGCCUGCGACUCCAGGCCCCCAGCCCCGAACAGCGCCCUGGGCCUUUGAGCACUUUCCCUGUGCCUGCCCACGCGGGAAUCUCCAGGACGCCACUCUGACCACACUGUGGCUCUCUCAUCAUGCCCUCGGGCCACCUGGGCCACUGGAGAGCAUCCGGCCCCUGUCUGCCCCCCCCCAACCUGGACGUCCAGGCCAACCGAGCGACCACAUGGAAGACGGACAUCCAGCAGCCGCCCUCGAGGCCCAGGACCCUGGGAGCCACUACUCCACCUGCAGCGAGCAUGGCGGCUCUGCUCUGGGAGGGGGCACAGGGUUAGGAUGGAGAUGGCAGCUGCCCUGGGCACUGCCAGCCCUGAAGGGGACACAGAGCCUGAGGCCCCCGGGGCCAGGUGGCUGCUCCCAACCUGAAGAGCUGGGCUGCGUGGGGGCUGGAACUGGAGGCCACUGAUCUGGACACAGGCAGUGAGCUCUGUCUGUGUCAGUCCUUGGCUCUGUGACCUUCGGCCGCCAGGUGUGAAGGAGCCCACAGAGGGAGGGACAGGCCCAGGGCCCCUCCCCAUGGCCCGCCCUGGCCAGGAGCCGGGAAGGAGUGGUCAGGGCUCUCCUGCGUCUGGGGAGCCCACAGAGGGAGGGACAGGCCCAGGGCCCCUCCCCACAGCCCACCCUAGACAGGAGCUGGGAAGGAGUGGUCAGGGCUCUCCUCCUGCGUCCGGGAUCCCUCCCUGGAGGGCCAGGGGC
rnacentral:lncRNA from 1 species